rnacentral:lncRNA from 1 species
GACGUCACGCCGCACGCCCCAGCGAGGGCGUGCGGAGUUUGGCUGCUCCGGGGUUAGCAGGUGAGCCUGCGAUGCGCGGGAAGACGUUCCGCUUUGAAAUGCAGCGGGAUUUGAAGUUGGGAUAUCUAAAGCAGAAGCCUUAGAAACUCUGCAAAUUAUCAGAAGAGAAUGUCUCACAAAUAAACCAAGAUAUGCUGGUACAUCUGAGUCACACAAGAAGUGUACAGCACUGGAACUUCUUGAGCAGGAGCAUACCCAGGGCUUCAUAAUCACCUUCUGUUCAGCACUAGAUGAUAUUCUUGGGGGUGGAGUGCCCUUAAUGAAAACAACAGAAAUUUGUGGUGCACCAGGUGUUGGAAAAACACAAUUAUGGUAAAAUAAAGUGUUCUCCUUUUAAGGGUGGGUUUAAUAACAUAUUAUGAAAGUAGUAUUUUGUACUAUCGUCAGGAAACCAAAUAAGAUAUAUAUGUGCUCUUAAUUUUAAGUGUGUAUGUGCAUUAAACAAAAAUUAGCUUACUAUUUGUGUUACUUCAUUAUCCCUUCUUGAUAAAUGUAUGCAAUUA